GUGCUUUAAAAGUUCUUUUUCCUUUCAGCCGUUAAAAAAUAAGCCAGAUUAUGUUCUUUUUAUAUAUUUCAUCAAGUAAAUGAAGAGAAAAUAGCAAAUUUGUGUAUCUGUCCAAACGGGCCUAUUGUAUUUCGACGAGUAUAAGGUGUUUGGCGGAGAAGCAGACUAGCGAAGUGUUGGUCGAUAAACAAGAUUAAUUAUGAAGAAAAAUCGAUUAACACAGAAGAAUUGCGCAAGAUGAAGAUUAGAUUUGUCCAAUUGAAGGAGUACAACAGAAGCCAUAUUCUCAAUGAGACAAUAAAAUUAUUAAUGGGAAAAUUUCGAUAUGAACAAAGAAACCUGGAUAAUAAUUAUGGUGGAAAGCUUACAUGAUGGCUUGGGGUUUCUCUGAUGGAUCGUAUCAGAACAGAAAUGAGGUUAUCCGUCAGAGGACUAAGGUUACCAACAUAGCUGUCAAAAUAUGCAAGCUGAAGUGGCAGUGGGCUGAUCAUAUGUGUGGCUGAGGAUAGAGUGUUGUGGUGCUCCUUGGGAGAGGCCUUCAGUAAGAGAAUGAUGUGGUGCGAUCAUGUAUAUUUUAAUUUAAUAAAAUAAGUUCAGUUAAAA